AGGACGAACGCUGGCGGCGUGCUUAACACAUGCAAGUCGAGCGGUAAGGCCCUGCUUUUGUGGGGUACACGAGCGGCGAACGGGUGAGUAACACGUGAGUAAUCUGCCCUUUACUUCGGGAUAAGCUCCGGAAACGGUGUCUAAUACCGGAUACGACCAUUCCACGCAUGUGGUGGUGGUGGAAAGUUUUUGCGGUGGGGGAUGUGCUCGCGGCCUAUCAGCUUGAUGGUGGGGUAAUGGCCUACAUGGCUUCGACGGGUAGCCGGCUGAGAGGGUGACCGGUCACACUGGGACUGAGACACGGCCCAGACUCCUACGGGAGGCAGCAGUGGGGAAUGUUGGACAAGUGGGCGGAAGCCUGAUCCAGCAACGCGCGUGGGGAUGACGCCUCGGUGUAACCUCUUCAUCAUCGACGAACGCCGUCUUCCGUUGGUCGGGUGUACGUGACGGUAGGUGGACGAAGAAGCGACCGGCCAACGUCGUGCCAGCACGCCGAC
rnacentral:rRNA from 1 species